CAAGAAAUUAAAGGGGGAGAGGGGAGCGGAUGCAUAACGUCACAGAGAGAGAGAGAGAGAAGGUUUAGAGAGGAAGGAAAUUCGUGAAGAGGGCUCGCGAAGACGAUAACCACUGGGCUGAUAGCGGGGUGAACGAGCGCUGCGGUAACGAGCCGUAAGAAAGAUGAGCAGAGCGUUCCUUCCGCCGGCCUUUAUAGGAGUAAGGGAGCGUGGUGAGAUAGAUAGACGUCCAAUCAGCUGGUUGCUCGGCCUUAGUAUUGGGCGGAUCUCACACUUCAAUCAACCCCUUCGAUCCAAUCAAUCGAUCGAUCAAGAGGCUAAUCUCUUUUAUUAUUUAUCUGUUGAUACCGUGGAGGCUUUUCUGUCUUAAAUUGCCACCCUCUUUGAAUCUCAUCUGCUGAGUCUUUUCCUUCUUAAAUUUGCAAAUUGUUUUUUGUCAUUUAUUUCAGCAUCUCGAUUUAACGUUUUUUUCUUUCCAUGCUCUGUUCAGAUUGCUUGAUGUCAAACAAGGACAGAAUAAGAAGGGAAGACAGUACUCUAUCUGUUAUUUGAGUACAUGGACACUGAUCUCCGGAAAUUCAUCAAGAGGUUAUUGUUUACAUACCACAAUGCAUAAACUUGAUGUUUAAGGCACAUCUUACCUGGUGGUUCCGCUCUUUGGUCUUCUUGAUUUUGUUAGAAGGAUGAAGCCACCGGAAAGAAAAGAUAGAGACUUUUGAAAGGUUCAUUGAACUUUGUAUGUCGGGUUUCUUCUAAUCAUAUAUAGUUAAAAAAUGAGUUUAAGGACUAUAAUAGGCUGCUGAAAUAUCGUUUACAUUACAAGAGGUUUACACUGCUAGCUGGAGUAGAUCAAUUGGAUAAAACAUGUCUUUCAUCGGUUGAGCUGACUUAGGUAUUUUUCUGUGAUCUUGUCACCCUUUAUUUUAAUUUCAAGUUCUUUUGUGACUGCUGAUCUUUGGGGAAAUAUCUCUCCUUGUUUGAAUCAGCCUGGGUAGUUUUUCUAUUAUCAGUUAACGUGAUCUUUCUCUUGCAAUUUUUCUGCUGCUCUAUUGCAAUGAGAUCAAAUAGGUAUAAAUGUUGCUUAUCUUGGAGCAGUCAGAACCUAUUGAAGAAGUAUAGGAAUUAAGAUUAGAAGGAAGACGUUCUAAGUUUCAAUGAAUAACUCAUAUUAGCGGCCUCUUUUUUUUUCCCUAUUGAAUAACUCAUAUCUUGGAGCAGUCAGAACCUAUUGAAGAAGUAUAAGAAUUGAGAUUAGAAGGAAGACGUUCUAAGUUUCAAUUAAUAACUCAUAUUAGUGGCCCUUUUUUUUUCCCUAUAUCCUUUCCUUUUUGAAUUCUUCGUGCUUUUUAAGUUUAAAAUUUACAUUUUCAUAUUAACUCAAAAGAUGUAUUAUGUCUUGAAUAAUUAGAUGGUGCCAAAUAAUUGAGGGUGGUGGAAGGAUGAUAGAAAUUAAAGGUUCCCUGUGCACUCAGUGACUGCUAUGUUAUUGAUGGUUGAUAUAGUUAAGAAAAUCAAUUAAUUUAAGUUUUUAAUUGUCUACCUCUUGCUAAGUUGGUAGCUAUUGAGUGGAUUUGGAGGUCAGAAGACUAGUUUCAAGUGUAUAGUGUUUAGGCUCAAUGUCUAUGGUGAUCUAUGAUAUCUUUUGAUUUUUUGCGGUCCA